UCUAAAUACUCAAUCAUGGCCGAUAUCAACCUACCAAAGUGAUAUUGCUGCCCACAGAGGUGGGAGAAGGUGCGGGCAGCUGCCUCCCAGGGACUGGUGCCAGCUGGCUCCCAUCCCCCACUGUGUGUGCCAAGGACCUUAGUGGGUAGUAUUCCAGGAGGAAUCUCAAACCCUCAUUCUUUGUGA
rnacentral:lncRNA from 1 species